rnacentral:tRNA from 1 species
GGGCGCGUAGCUCAGUUGGUUAGAGCGCCUGCCUUACAAGCAGGAAGUCCCCGGUUCGAGUCCGGGCGUGCCCA